AAUCAACGCUGGCGGCGUGCCUAACACAUGCAAGUCGAACGCGAAAGGGGCGUUCGGCCCUGAGUAGAGUGGCGUCCGGGUGAGUAACGCGUGGGUAAUCUACCCUCGGGUGGGGAAGUAACCAAUACGAAAGAUUGGCUAAUACCGCAUAAUGCAGCGGCUCGACAUCGAGACAGUUGUUAAAGCAGCAAUGCGCCAGAGGAGGAGCCUGCGUCUGAUUAGC
rnacentral:rRNA from 1 species